CAGUAGCCACGGUAAUACGUAGGUGGCGAGCGUUGUCCGGAAUCAUUGGGCGUAAAGGGAGCGCAGGCGGGCAUGUAAGUCUUUCUUAAAAGUUCGGGGCUCAACCCCGUGAUGGGAAAGAAACUACAUGUCUUGAGUACAGGAGAGGAAAGCGGAAUUCCCAGUGUAGCGGUGAAAUGCGUAGAUAUUGGGAGGAACACCAGUGGCGAAGGCGGCUUUCUGGACUGCAACUGACGCUGAGGCUCGAAAGCCAGGGGAGCGAACGGGAUUAGAUACCCGCGUAGUCCCUGUCUCUUAUACC
rnacentral:rRNA from 1 species